GCAGGACACCGCCCGGCGGGGCGGGGCCACCGCCAUCUUGGGCGGGAAGGGCUGAGGCGGCACCGCCCUCCCGCCAUUCCCUCAGCACCGGGCUGGCCCCGAGGGCCGUCCUGCGUGGGGAGGGCAGAGCGGAGCAGAGCUCGGCCGUUCCUACCCCUCGAGUGGCACCUCGUGGAGCAGGGAUACUCCAGACACGAGACUAUUGCCUCAUGGGUAUUCUGUUGUGUUUUGUUUUUUUUUAAAACCAACACGUUUCCAUUCUUUGUGCACUCUCCCGUGUUUAUGCUCGUGCUCGUGGCUCUUUAAGUACGGUCUCCCAACUGUAAUUCAGUGUGGGCACGUUUUUAAGAAGUUUUAUACAGCGCACGGAAGGGAAUUAGCAACAUUUUUCAGUCUGAAGAGUUGCCUGGUCAGCGUGGAGAAAGUGUGGCAGGUGUGCCAGAACGGCUCCCACCAGAAACGCUGUCAACACGAGGAGCCCCUUCCAUCUUGUGUUAGCAUUUUUAAUGUCUACACAUCAAGAGAGCAAAAUCCAGACCAAUAUUUUCCAAAUCUAGCCAGCUACUCGGUAGCUAACCUGAUCCUUCUAAGAUUUCCAGCCACUGAUGGAUGGUACAGAGGGGAAAGGUGGCUGGGCUGUUCUGGGGAGCUGCGGAGAAGAGGGCACAGCACCAUGCUCUUUGUAGUGUCACACUGGUGCCAAAAUCUGUGCUCCGGAAAAUGGCCCAAGGGGCUUUCUUUUUAAAGAAAAUUUCACUUACAUGCAAUAUACCAGUUUCAUUUCCCAAAUUUCACAUUAUUGAGCAAUAAUGUGAUUGGCUUUUUUGGGGAAUAAAAAUAGUUUGGUGGUGGAGUAAUAAUGAACCCACUGAACUUUCUGAAUUUCAUCUGAAUUUUCUGUCCCUGUUCAGACAGGAACACAGAUAGAUAUGAGCCAUAUCACUGAUCUGGGUCUCUCCUGGUAUGGAAGAUGGGCACAGGGAAGGGACCACGACAUGGAGGGCUGGGCAAGUGUGUCCACCCCCCCCUACAGCAUGGCAGCCUGGUCAUCUGCUUCUCCCCAAAUCCACCUGGUGUUCAGCCUGAGUUGUGAUUAUUCUUAGUGUACUAAUUUAUAUAAGGUGUGGACCAAGCUGUUUAACCCAAGGUUUUUAGAAACAGGUGCUUGUGGCAGUUUAGGAAUUCCAGGUCUGAGAGUGUGUGCAGGAUGUAUCUGUCAGGUGCUUCAUGUGUAAAGAAUUUUGGCACACCCAAUGUUUAAAUUGGCCACCAGUGCCUUCAUGUUGGGAUUGCCAGCUGCACAGAGAUCUUCACACCGGAGCAUCUUUUAUUUAUGGGUUGGGCUGGUUCUUGUGAAUCAAAAUGAUCAGUUUAUGUUGUGACCUGUGGUAGAUUUAAUUUGCCCUCUAAAUCAAUUAUUCUUGACAUCAGAAGCAGCUUCAUGGUUAAUUAACUUUUCUUUCAUGCUUACAAAAUAAUUUUAUAACGUCAGGUUAAGAUACAGCAGAAGGUUGGAUGCAGGCAGAGUAAAACAGUCCUAGUGUUUCUGCCUGUGUGUCCACAUCUUAAUUCUCUUCGUGAAGUCCAAAUUGACAUUGUUUUCUGAAAGGUUUGCAAAGCAUUACAUCAGUGACAUGCUUUUUCUAGCACAUAUAGUCAUGGAAUAUCAGCACAAGACUUUAACUCCAAUUAAUAGAAGAAUGAGCAACCUGUUGUCUGAAGAAGAUUGUGAACUAAAAAUGACUUAAUGCUAUCAUGCAGAGCAACUUCAGUGCUAUGAAAGACUGCCAUAAUUUCUUUCUAUUGUCUUCCUAUAAUCUUCAGAAUUCUUUUUUUCCUCCUAAAUGAAGUAUUUUUUUUGCUGUGUUCAGCAAGAGGGGAAGAUAAACCUUGUAACAGUGUAUGUUUGCCAACCCUCAAACACUUUUUCUUAAAUCUCUCUAUAAAAAAGUAAAUAUUUGACCUAAUUUUUAAGUAGUGUUGAAAAACUUGGCUAAGGGUCAGUGACUCUUGCUUUGUGCUCACUGUACUGAAAUGGCAUAAUGAUCAUGUGUGCUGGUUUCAAUGGAGUUUUUUGUACUUAUCUAUCUUUGCUCUUACAUAUUAACUCUGUAUCUUAGUACUGCAGAUGCAGUCUUGCAAAAAAAAUGGAUUCUACACAGAAGACACAUAGAAGGCAAAGGGUGGGAGACUGUGGGAUGUCCCACUAAACAGAGUAUAUACUAAUUUAUUUUACUAUUUUGUAUAAGUAGGGUAUUUCACAUGAAUUAUUUAAUUGCCAUUUUAAUUUAGCUGAAAAAACUUCUCUCGAAGCAUAGUGCCAUCUAAAAUAACAUUUAUUUUUGCUGUUUAAUUAUAACCUUACUGUUAUGGUUUUGCCACAGCUACACUUUAAGGGUGGAGGAAAUAUAUUCUUCAGAAGACAUGAUAUAGCAAUGAUAUACUGCAAUACAUGUCCUAUACUAUGCUUUCUGAACUGCCUUAGGAUUUUUGAAUGGCCACUCUUUACAAAGAGCUGUUUCAGGGCUUGCAUUUUCACUUCAGAUCUUCACAAGGAUCACAUGAAAAUUGGAGCAAGUCUGUCUGGUGUUGAGCCAAUGCAAAUAGAUGGUUCAGUGCUCAAAUAUCAGUUUUACAAUUGAUGGGACUUGCAACUAGAACCUUGCAGCAUAUGUUGUCCUUGGGCUAAAAUAAAAUCUCUCUGCUUCUUAUACAGAUAAAGGUUGUCUAUUCUAUGGUCCACCAGGGACUGGAAAGACACCGCUUGCUUGUGCACUUGCUAAUGAAUGUAGCAGAGAUGACAGAUUUUAAUAGGACAAAUUCCAGCUACAGAAGAGACAUAGCACAUCUCAAAGAGAGAACAUUUUAUAGAUAGUCAUGACUUUAGAUAGUCAUUUAUCGUUAUAAACAAUACGCUCUGAAGAGUCACUCGAGUGCAGCUGCUUCCUUGUACCAUACAUCUCCUAAGCAGUCAAUACAGUUCAUGCAGCUGACACUACAUGAAACAGCCUCAGCUUUGCUAAGCGGGGAUGGAAUUAUCUCCAGAGAAGCUGUUUUUCAAGAAUCACACAAUGGUUUGGGUUGGAAGGGACCAUAUAGAACAUCUAGUUCCAAACCUGCUGCCAUGGGCAGGGACACCUUCCACUAGACCAAGUCGCCCAAAGCCCCAUCCAACCUGGCCUUGAACGCUUCCAGGGAUGGGGUACCCAACUUCUCUGGCCAAUCUGUGCCUGGAACAGACACUGAUCUAGCAGAAAUGCAAA